GCAGAGGAACUCAAUACUGGAAUUAAACGGAUCCGGUUUGAUUUCGCACAUCAGGCUGCAUCCGUUCUGUUAGGAAGCGGUUGUGCAAAAUCAAAAUGGAAAUAAUCGGAUCCAUCACUAAAUACAUUGAAAGUUAAUGGGCUUCUAAGAGAAA